GCAGCAGGCAGCAUAGUGGUUAGAGCUACUGUCCUUGGACUCAGAGGUUGUGGGCUUGAAUCCCACCUCCUGCU
rnacentral:tRNA from 1 species